GAUAUUGGAACAGGUGGCUUUGGGAUCGGGGGGAGAGCGGGCUAGGGGAGGGAAAAACAGCAGCGGGGGAGGAGAGAGCAAGCUUUAGUUCGGGUGUUAGAGCGCGGUAGUGGCGACGGAGCGGGAGCAACUGCGCAGGUGGCUGGAGGGGUCGCACGCCCCCGUGCGGGACCUCCAAGCGUCUCAAGCAAGCGCACACAAGUCCCGUGGCCUCGUUCCGCCCUUCGACGCACCUGCCGCAGCAGCUGGAGAAGAAGGAGCCAAGGAGGUGGGCAGUGGCGAGAGGCCAGGUGGGGCCGGAAGGGGCUCGUGCAGAUGUCGAGGCGCUGGAGCUUUGGCGGCGGCUAUGGGGGCACUAGCUGAUGUAGCUACUGCUGGGGAGGAAGAAUGGUCUCGUUGGUC
rnacentral:rRNA from 1 species